AUGUCAAGGCUGGGGCAUUUUCUGAAAAAAUUCUUGAAUUUCUCCCAUGCCUCCGGAUAGCUUUCGAGCUCUUUCUGCUUGAAAGUGUGAACUUCAUUCCUGACUU
rnacentral:snoRNA from 1 species